rnacentral:rRNA from 1 species
UACGAAGGGAGCUAGCGUUGUUCGGAAUUACUGGGCGUAAAGGGCGCGUAGGCGGUUUGGCAAGUUGGAUGUGAAAGCCCAGGGCUCAACCCUGGAAUUGCAUUCAAGACUGCUUUACUUGAAUUCGGUAGAGGUUGGUGGAAUUCCCAGUGUAGAGGUGAAAUUCGUAGAGAUUGGGAAGAACACCCGUGGCGAAGGCGGCCAACUGGACCGACAUUGGCGCUGAGGCGCGAAAGCGUGGGGAGCAAACAGG